AGUGAACGCUGGCGGUAGGCCUAACACAUGCAAGUCGAACGGCAGCACAGUAAGAGCUUGCUCUUACGGGUGGCGAGUGGCGGACGGGUGAGGAAUACAUCGGAAUCUACUUUUUCGUGGGGGAUAACGUAGGGAAACUUACGCUAAUACCGCAUACGACCUACGGGUGAAAGCAGGGGAUCUUCGGACCUUGCGCGAUUGAAUGAGCCGAUGUCGGAUUAGCUAGUUGGCGGGGUAAAGGCCCACCAAGGCGACGCUCCGUAGCUGGUCUGAGAGGAUGAUCAGCCACACUGGAACUGAGACACGGUCCAGACUCCUACGGGAGGCAGCAGUGGGGAAUAUUGGACAAUGGGCGAAAGCCUGAUCCAGCCAUACCGCGUGGGUGAAGAAGGCCUUCGGGUUGUAAAGCCCUUUUGUUGGGAAAGAAAAGCAGCAGGUUAAUACCCCGCUGUUCUGACGGUACCCAAAGAAUAAGCACCGGCUAACUUCGUG
rnacentral:rRNA from 1 species